GAUGAACGCUAGCGGCAGGCUUAAUACAUGCAAGUCGAACGGUAAGUUUGGUAGCAAUAUCAAACCAAGAGUGACGUACGGGUGCGUAACACGUAUGCAACCUACCUUGUACAGGAGUAUAGCUCGGGGAAACUCGAAUUAACCCUCCAUGAGAUCAUAGAAUGGCAUCAUUUAGUGAAUUAAAACUCAGGUGGUACAAGAUGGGCAUGCGUCUGAUUUAGAGUUGGGCGGGGUAAU
rnacentral:rRNA from 1 species